AGUAACGCGUAGAAAUCUGCCUGGUAGUGGGGGAUAGCCCAGAGAAAUUUGGAUUAAUACCGCAUACGCCCUACGGGGGAAAGCAGGGGACCUUCGGGCCUUGCGCUAUCAGAUGAGUCUGCGUCGGAUUAGCUUGUUGGUGAGGUAAUGGCUCACCAAGGCGACGAUCCGUAGCUGGUCUGAGAGGAUGAUCAGCCACACUGGGACUGAGACACGGCCCAG
rnacentral:rRNA from 1 species